rnacentral:rRNA from 3 species
GAACUUUCCAGAGAUGGAUUGGUGCCUUCGGGAACUGUGAGACAGGUGCUGCAUGGCUGUCGUCAGCUCGUGUUGUGAAAUGUUGGGUUAAGUCCCGCAACGAGCGCAACCCUUAUCCUUUGUUGCCAGCGGUCCGGCCGGGAACUCAAAGGAGACUGCCAGUGAUAAACUGGAGGAAGGUGGGGAUGACGUCAAGUCAUCAUGGCCCUUACGACCAGGGCUACACACGUGCUACAAUGGCGCAUACAAAGAGAAGCGACCUCGCGAGAGCAAGCGGACCUCAUAAAGUGCGUCGUAGUCCGGAUUGGAGUCUGCAACUCGACUCCAUGAAGUCGGAAUCGCUAGUAAUCGUGGAUCAGAAUGCCACGGUGAAUACGUUCCCGGGCCUUGUACACACCGCCCGUCACACCAUGGGAGUGGGUUGCAAAAGAAGUAGGUAGCUUAACCUUCGGGAGGGCGCUUACCACUUUGUGAUUCAUGACUGGGGUGAAGUCGUAACAAGGUAACCGUAGGGGAACCUGCGGUUGGAUCACCUCCUUACCUUAAAGAAGC